rnacentral:rRNA from 1 species
GACGAACGCUGGCGGCGUGCUUAACACAUGCAAGUCGAACGGAAAGGCCCUGCUUUUGUGGGGUGCUCGAGUGGCGAACGGGUGAGUAACACGUGAGUAACCUGCCCUUGACUUUGGGAUAACUUCAGGAAACUGGGGCUAAUACCGGAUAGGAGCUCCUGCUGCAUGGUGGGUUUUGGAAAGUUUCGGCGGUUGGGGAUGGACUCGCGGCUUAUCAGCUUGUUGGUGGGGUAGUGGCUUACCAAGGCUUUGACGGGUAGCCGGCCUGAGAGGGUGACCGGCCAAAUUGGGACUGAGAUACGGCCCAGACUCCUACGGGAGGCAGCAGUGGGGAAUAUUGCACAAUGGGCGGAAGCCUGAUGCAGCAACGCCGCGUGCGGGAUGACGGCCUUCGGGUUGUAAACCGCUUUCGCCUGUGACGAAGCGUGAGUGACGGUAAUGGGUAAAGAAGCACCGGCUAACUACGUG